AAAAUCCAAAAAGCUGCUGCUAACCGCUGGUGGAGUUUGUGACUGUUAAAUGCCGACCAUUCCACAUUCCACGCAAAUUCACCGCUCUGUUUAUACUCGGUGUUUACACCAAGUGCUAAAGCUAUCAAUGCGUUAGCUGAACUUAACGGAGCCUACAAU